UACGAACUGUGCGAACGUUAUUCGGAAUCACUGGGCUUACAGGGUGCGUAGGCGGCCGAACAAGUCAGGUGGUGAAACGCCCUCGGCUCAACCGAGGAACUGCGCUUGAAACUGUUUGGCUCGAGUCAACUAGAAGGUGCACGGAACUUCCAGUGGAGCGGUGAAAUGUGUUGAUAUUGGAAGGAACACCGGAGGCGAAAGCGGUGCACUGGGGUUGG
rnacentral:rRNA from 1 species